CCACCGGAGGAGCCAGAUGCCUUCUGUGAGCUCCUGAGCUGGGAGGCUGCUGCAGACCCCGAGGGAGCCGAGGACUGGCCAGGACAGCCAGGGCCAUUUACAGACCCAAGCACAGAAGAGCUGCAAGUGCCUUCUUCCCCGACAACCAGGAUGACCCUCUACAGAGCCAGCAUUAUAUGGAAAAGUUCUAGAGAUGAAACCGCCCUCUGAGAGUCACCGGUGGGACACCCAGGCGGCACUGAACUCACAUAUCCCAUUCCUGGAGCUGGACCCUCUGGGGAGAUGGAGUGGCCGCUCCCAGAAAGUUAGAAACGGUGAUUGAAAAUGGACUCCAGGAGCGAAAAUCACAGCUCUCUGCAGCCUCCGCAGCUUACAGACACCCGUGUAUGGCAGGGAGUCGAGAUCAGCGGCAGCCGAGUCCUCAGCAUUAGAUUAAAGUAGCGUAUGUUGGCUCCAAAGUCUCCUGUUCUUCUUGGACUCCCUCUUUCUCGCCGCCUCCCAGCUCAGGACAAGCGUAUGUGUGUUCGGGGGUGAAAUGCUCCCGCCAGCAGACAGGGCAGGGCUGCUCACAUGCUGCCAUCUGCCAGGACUUCUGACUUCCAGCUGGGCAACCGACGAUAUUUCACAAAGAGGGACCACCCGAACCACUGUGAUUUCUAAUAGUGU